rnacentral:rRNA from 1 species
CCUACGGGAGGCAGCAGUGGGGAAUAUUGCGCAAUGGGCGAAAGCCUGACGCAGCGACGCCGCGUGAGGGAUGAAGGUCUUCGGAUCGUAAACCUCUGUCAGCAGGGAAGAACGGUCACUGUGCUAAUCAGCAGUGAAUUGACGGUACCUGCAAAGGAAGCACCGGCUCACUCCGUGCCAGCAGCCGCGGUAAUACGGAGGGUGCGAGCGUUAAUCGGAAUUACUGGGCGUAAAGCGCUCGUAGGCGGUAUGUCAAGUCAAGGGUGAAAUCCCCGCGCUCAACGUGGGAACUGCCUUUGAAACUGGCAGACUGGAGUGUGUGAGAGGAUAGUGGAAUGCCAGGUGUAGGAGUGAAAUCCGUAGAUAUCUGGAGGAACAUCAGUGGCGAAGGCGACUAUCUGGCACAUAACUGACGCUGAGGAGCGAAAGCGUGGGUAGCAAACAGGAUUAGAUACCCUUGUAGUC